UUGACCUCGGAUCAGGUAGGGAUACCCGCUGAACUUAAGCAUAUCAAUAAGCGGAGGAAAAGAAACCAACAGGGAUUGCCCCAGUAACGGCGAGUGAAGCGGCAAGAGCUC
rnacentral:rRNA from 1 species